rnacentral:rRNA from 1 species
AGUGAACGCUAGCGGCAGGCCUAACACAUGCAAGUCGAACGGCAGCACAGCAGUAGCAAUACUGUGGGUGGCGAGUGGCGGACGGGUGAGGAAUACAUCGGAAUCUGCCUUAUCGUGGGGGAUAACGUAGGGAAACUUACGCUAAUACCGCAUACGACCUACGGGUGAAAGCGGAGGACCUUCGGGCUUCGCGCGAUAAGAUGAGCCGAUGUCGGAUUAGCUAGUUGGCGGGGUAAAGGCCCACCAAGGCGACGAUCCGUAGCUGGUCUGAGAGGAUGAUCAGCCACACUGGAACUGGGACACGGUCCAGACUCCUACGGGAGGCAGCAGUGGGGAAUAUUGGACAAUGGGCGCAAGCCUGAUCCAGCCAUGCCGCGUGGGUGAAGAAGGCCUUCGGGUUGUAAAGCCCUUUUGUCCGGAAAGAAAAGCAUCGGGUUAAUACCUCGGUGUUCUGACGGUACCGGAAGAAUAAGCACCGGCUAACUUCGUGCCAGCCGCCGCGGUAAGAC